GGUUUUGUGGCUCAGCUGGUAGAGCGUUUUCCGCACUUGGACACGUUUUUGUUGCUGGUCCCAGUCCAGCCGAAGUUA